CCUACGGGAGGCAGCAGUAGGGAAUCUUCCACAAUGGACGAAAGUCUGAUGGAGCAACGCCGCGUGAGUGAAGAAGGGUUUCGGCUCGUAAAGCUCUGUUGGUAGGGAAGAAAAAUAGAGGUAGUAACUGGCCUUUAUUUGACGGUAAUUACUUAGACAGUCACGGCUAACUACGUGCCAGCAGCCGCGGUAAUACGUAGGUGGCAAGCGUUGUCCGGAUUUAUUGGGCGUAAAGCGAGUGCAGGCGGUUCAAUAAGUCUGAUGUGAAAGCCUUCGGCUCAACCGGGGAAUUGCAUCAGAAACUGUUGGACUUGAGUGCAGAAGAGGAGAGCGGAACUCCAUGUGUAGCGGUGGAAUGCGUAGAUAUAUGGCAGAACACCAGUGGCGAAGGCGGCUCUCUGGUCUGCAACUGACGCUGAGGCUCGAAAGCAUGGGUAGCGAACAGGAUUAGAUACCCGAGUAGUC
rnacentral:rRNA from 1 species